UCUUCGUAUCUCCCUCCUCUCUAACUUCGCAUCCCCAGAACUCUCUCUCUCUCUCACUCGCUCUCAUUUUUUUCAUUCUCUCCUUUUCUAUUUCUUUUUAUUCUAAACCUGAAGCAUGCGAGAGAUUGGAUGUGUGCCUCCAGCCAUUAACUCUCCAUUCGAUCUAACUACUUACAAUCCCUAACCUCAUAAUCUCUCACUCUCCAGAGCCAAAUCCCCUAUCAAAUCCAUUCAUCCAUCGCACUGCAUUUUUUGGAUCGAUGAUUCCUCAGAUAAAAGAACCAUAUAAAAGGGACAAUACUGCUGAAGUUUCUUCUAGGUUUCCAAAUGAAAAGGGAACCAUGAGGCAGAAUGUGGUAAGUUUGAGGAAACAGUACCAGAAAAGAGCCAAAGCAAUAUAGUGAGUAGCCUAGCUGAGAAAGCCAUGUCAGUUGCUGCUCCUGUGGUACCUACCAAAAGUGAUGGUGAAGUGGAUCAAGAAAGGCUGGUAGCAAUGCUGGCAGACUUGGGACAGAAGGGUGGAAUCUUGAAGCUGCUUGGUAAAAUUGCUUUGCUUUUAGUUUGAUGAGAGAAGCAUUACUAUUCCAAUGAAAACACAAGAAUACAACCAUACAACCACCAAAUGUACUGAAGAUGGAACCUCUCAUAAUAAGAAACAGGUGCAAGGAUUUGUGCAGAAUAACAGAACUAGAAACAAGGUUGGGAGAUCCUACUAUAAAGCCAAAGAGGUAUGAUCCCGUGUCAGAAGCUAUGUUGUUAUAGAAAUGAGACAAAUCGGUCACUCAAACAUGAUACAAUUUGACACUUGACCUACUGGAGAAGUUGCCUCCAACUAAUUCAAGACCCAGGCUAGAUCAGAGGCUUUUGGAAAAUGGGGAAUAUGAACUACCAAAUGUAGAGAAACUUAGACUUGAACAGCUACAGAGACAGGUAGACUUCAAUGGAUGCUUUUGUUCCCUAACAUUAUUCUCUUAGUUUGCAUCAUUUGUGGAGGCUUUUCUUUCUUUCUUUCUUUCUUCUUUUAUCAGCAAUAAAGAAAAGAUAAUUUUAUUAAUAUAAGCAGAACUUGUACAUCUUCUUUAGACAAUUGAGAGCACGACAUUGGUGGUGGAAAAUCAUGAUACUCUCUUUUGGCAUGAGUGACCUUGAGAAUAAUUUAAUGGUAAAAAGAAUA